UACGUAGGGUGCAAGCGUUGUCCGGAAUUAUUGGGCGUAAAGAGCUCGUAGGCGGUUUGUCGCGUCUGCUGUGAAAACUCGGGGCUUAACUCCGGGCCUGCAGUGGGUACGGGCAGACUAGAGUGCGGUAGGGGAGACUGGAAUUCCUGGUGUAGCGGUGAAAUGCGCAGAUAUCAGGAGGAACACCGGUGGCGAAGGCGGGUUGCUGGGCUGAUACUGACGCUGAGGCGCGAAAGCCAGGGGAGCGAACGGG
rnacentral:rRNA from 1 species